GACUGGGUGGCCAAGUUGGCUAAGGCGUGAGACUGUUAUUCGGUAAUAACUUGGCAUCUCAAGAUCGAGAGUUCGAGCCUCUCCCUGGUCG
rnacentral:tRNA from 7 species